GUCAUCUGAGUCCACCCUUGGAGGUCCUCACGUAACCUGGACCGCAGGAGCACCCUCCCAGCUGGGCAGGACCUGGUGCGGAGGCAGCAGCUGGUCUCCUGAGGGAGGCUGGGCCUUUGUGGCCCAUGGAGACUCCUGGACUCUGUCCUCCCAAUGCCACACUACUGUCCACCCCAGGCCCUCACCACAGUCCCUCACUGGCUGUCACCCUGAGCCUCUCCCCCUCCAAUCCAGCAAGAGGUUCCAUAAGGUACAUACAGAAAACUUGGAAAUACAGAGACGCAACAACAGAGACAGAGAGACAGAGAGAGGAAGAGAUUCCCUAUAAUCGCACGAUGCAAGGAUGCCUUCUGUCAACACUGUGUUGUGCUCCUUCUAGACUUUUUCUCCAGGUGUAUGUGUGGGCUCACACAAGUAUUUUUAAACUUUCAUUUUUUAAAUUUAUUUAUUUUUGCUGGCGAAGAUUGGCCCUGAGCUAACAUCUGUGCCCAUCUUCCUCUAUUUUGUAUGUAGGAUGCCACCACAGCAUGGCCACCAAAGAGUGGUGUUGGUCCACGCCCGGGCCACCGAAGCAGAGCACACCGAACUUAACCAAUAGGCCAGAGGCCCCUGAACUUUAUUGUAGAAUAUUGGGAUUACAUUGUUUCAUGAACUCGCUUUUUAAAAAACUGAAAAUGCAACCUGAAUAUGUUUGUGCAUCAAGGCACACCUCUUCCUGGGUGAUGAGCAUUCUGUUGUGGGCUCUUCUAGAAGUCCCUUUAUGUUCCCCAUGUGACCAGACCCCACGACCGCCCUGCAGUUUGCCCAAGAAGCCUGAGCUGCCCUCAGUGAGGACGUACCUCUUCUCCUCCAGAGCAGUUCAACUGCUCGUCACCCCUGACAAGCAAAGUCUAUGCUCCUGACCUUCCGUGGUUUCUCAGCCUUCAGCUGUGCCCCUUCCAGAAGCACAGCCGCCCCUAGGACUCCCUCCCGUGUAUGUUCCAGUCACCCCAGAAGCCUGUGGAGCUCUCUUUUCAGGGGUGCAUGCUGUGAAAAUAAGCAGGCAUUGUGUUCCCGUUCUGCAUGUAGGUUAUAUUCUUCCACUGAAUAGCAGUUUCACACGGCAUGUUCCCUGCUCUGCCGCAUCGUCUGGACCCCUUCCCACUCAGCUAGCUGCCAGUCAGCUCUGGGGGACAGGGCCCUCUGGCACAGGUUGAACCCUUGCCAGCCAACUGCUGCCAGGGACAGAAAGUGUGCACAGAGGGCAGAGACUUGGGCCUGGCUCUCAGCAAUCCAGUAGCUAGAUGUGAGACCCAGGUGUUCUGUGCCAUUGAUGUGGCAGAUCAAAGAUGGCUAAAAAUACUCUGUCAUCCCUGCACUGAGAGGUAUGUCUCUUUUCCCACUCCCCUUGAUUCUGGGCUGGGCCUAAUGCUGCUUUGACCAAUAGAAUCCAGUCUCUUGCUCAAAGAUGCUCUGCCUGUUCUUUCCAUUUUAAGACAACUAUCAGCUCCUGCUUGCAACCAGCCUCCAUGUUGUGAGGAAGCCCAAGCAGCCAUGUGGAGAGGCCCAUGUGGAGAAUCUAGGCUCCAAGUCAACAGUCUCAGCUGACCUCCCCGUCAACAGCCAGCAUCAACUUGCCAGCCAUGGAGGUCAAGCAUCUUGGAAGUCGAUCCUUCAGCCCGACUUGAGCUGUCCUAGCUGAUGCCACGUGGCGCAGAGACAAGCUGUCCACAGGAGCCCUGCCCGUACUGCUAAAUCAUGAUUGCUGUUGUUUUAAGCCACUAAGUUUGGGGCCAGUUUGUUAUGCAGCAACAGAUACCUGAAACAGAGCUAGUGCUGGAACAUGGGAACUCAAAGAUGGAGACAUGUGUCUUAGCCUACGUUCCUCUCAGAAGCAGACCUCACUCAAAGGUUUGCUUGCAGUGUGUGGUUUCUUUGGGAAGUGAUCUCAGAGAGCAGGAAUGAAGACCAAAGACAGGAAGUUAGAAAAGCCAAUUUGAGGUUUGUCCCUGUGUCGUCCACCACUCCUGGUGAUUGGUGCUUGAUCCCACUGGGGUCUUCUGAGGAGCCCCAUAGAGCGAGUCUCAGAACUCUCUGCAUGAGGGAUGAAAGGGAGAAGCAUUCAGGAAGGCGGGCUCCAAACUGCCAUUGACCAGGCUGCUUCAUGGGAUGUUAAACCCCCUGCACUUCUAGGAUGUAUAUGUGUGAAUGUCACACUGGUUCCUGACGGUGCUGCAUGCUGUGACGUCAGAGAAGUCCCCUCGCAGGAAGCAGAAGACAUCUGGCAUAUGCUGGAGAUGAGGUGUUGUCAGGAUGCGGUGGACAAAAUCUGCACAAGGACAGUUUUCUGUAGCCUUGGCUGGAGCCAGAGGUGAGGCCGUGAGAAUGGGAGGUGGCCCAUAAGAGGUAUCCAGGAUGACAUGGACCUUUGAGAAACUGGCCAUGUUGCCCCUUCUCAGCAUGUGGGCAGUGGCUAUUCCAUGAAGCUGUCAGGCUAUCUUGGUUGUGCUGAAGGCUGGAGUUAUUCUAGGCUUUGCAUCCCAACCACCAGCAAUCUCCUGGUUCAGAGUUUGAAAUUGAGUCUCUUCCCCAUGCCUAAGACAUCCACCUGGUAUUGUCCUCGGCACAGUAGCUACUGGCCCAAGUGAGUGCUUGUUGCAAAGAGUUUCGAGCAGCACUGCCCAACUUUCCCCAAUAGCUCUGUCCUUGUUAGAAAAGUUCCAAGGCCUUUGUCCACCUGUCUGGCCUAAAUCGUUCACAAAAACAUUAGAGGCAUUUGGAGUCUUCCAAAAGAAAACACCUCAGGCCAGCUUACAGGAGAGCCUCUGGGCAAUUUCAAGCUAUUCCUCUGUGGCAGGGGUCAUGGAGACGGCAUUUCCAGAUUCGGCUGGAAAUCUGAAACUCAUAGGAAGGACGACCUCCUGAGAAACUCUUCUGGGAUGAUGGGGCCUGGAGAACAUGGUCUUACUGUAUCAGGUUCAGCAAGCUAGGUCCCUGUUCUCGCUCUGGCCCAGGUGCCAUGGAACCUUGGCUGGAAGCCACGUUGCCACGUUCUUAGGAUGCUGGAGCAGGAAGGCGCCUCAGAAAGGAUACACGGGUUACCUACUCCUUACCUAAAAAAUGUCGGCACUGGGAAUGGCCUCUGCUUCCUCAGCCUUUUGAGUAGGUAUAAAAGAACUUUAC
rnacentral:lncRNA from 1 species